GUGCUUGCUUCGGCAGUACAUGUACUAAAAUUGGAACGAUACGGAAAAGAUUAGCAUGGCCCCUGCGCAAGGAUGACACGGAAAUUCGCGAAGUGUUCCAUAUUUUU